rnacentral:lncRNA from 1 species
GUGAUCCGUGGUUGAUUUCUUCAAAGAUUGUGUCUUUGUACAUUCAUGUGUAUUUGAAGAAGAUUGUCCUUUAUUCCUCUAUGAAAAAGCAUUAUUUGUGUAAGAGUCUGUGAAUAUUUCAAAACGGAUAUGGUAACUUUUCAUAGUAACUGCUUUUUUUAAUGAAGAAUCAAGCAAUAGCUUGAGGUAAAUUGCUUCAAGUAUUCUAAUUAACAAAUGAUGAGUUAAACUUUACUAUGGAGAAUAUAAUAUGAAGAUCACCAUCAAAAGUAUGUGGAAGGGUCACUGAAAUUCUCCAUUUUCUAAGUCAAAACUUCUGCACAUUGGAAGAUUUCAAGAUGUGAAUAAUAAAGAAAAACUUGACCAUAACUAGAAGAAAAGAUUUCCUUAAGAAGAAAUUAUAUCUGUGCAUGUUCAGAAACUUGCUGUCCUUGUUGGAAAGUGUCACAUUAAAGGCAUAGGAGCAAAGGCAGAACAAUAAUUGUUUUAAAAAUGUAUUUUCUGAACAUCUACUUCUCAAUCUGGCAAAUUAGAGAAGACUUUCCUCUAGCCUUACUCUACACCCCCUCCCACUCCCAAGCAGUAGAAUUACAUUUAAAUGUUCUCAUGAACAAUCAAUAGAGGUUAUCCUCCCACCAAUAGUUUGGUCUGGUAUCCCAAGCAAGGAAUAAAAAAUAUAGUUUAUAAUGUUGUGGGUUCCGAGGGAGUAAACAUGGCAUGCCAAAUCUGUUCAAUUCUAACU